GGGUUGUGAGGUUAAGCGACUAAGCGUACACGGUGGAUGCCCUGGCAGUCAGAGGCGAUGAAGGGCGUGCUAAUCUGCGAUAAGCGCCGGUAAGGUGAUAUGAACCGUUAUAACCGGCGAUACCCGAAUGGGGAAACCCAGUGUGAUUCGUCACACUAUCAUUAACUGAAUCCAUAGGUUAAUGAGGCGAACCGGGGGAACUGAAACAUCUAAGUACCCCGAGGAAAAGAAAUCAACCGAGAUUCCCCCAGUAGCGGCGAGCGAACGGGGAGGAGCCCAGAGCCUGAAUCAGCAUGUGUGUUAGUGGAAGCGUCUGGAAAGGCGCGCGAUACAGGGUGACAGCCCCGUACACAAAAGCGUAUGUGCUGUGAGCUCGAUGAGUAGGGCGGGACACGUGGUAUCCUGUCUGAAUAUGGGGGGACCAUCCUCCAAGGCUAAAUACUCCUGACUGACCGAUAGUGAACCAGUACCGUGAGGGAAAGGCGAAAAGAACCCCGGCGAGGGGAGUGAAAAAGAACCUGAAACCGUGUACGUACAAG
rnacentral:rRNA from 1 species